rnacentral:rRNA from 1 species
AUCCAGCCAUGCCGCGUGUGUGAAGAAGGCCUUAUGGUUGUAAAGCACUUUAAGCGAGGAGGAGGCUACUCUAGUUAAUACCUAGAGAUAGUGGACGUUACUCGCAGAAUAAGCACCGGCUAACUCUGUGCCAGCAGCCGCGGUAA